rnacentral:tRNA from 1 species
GUGAGCAUAGUUUAACAAAAACGUCAGAUUGUGAUUCUGAAAACAGAAGUUAAAACCUUCUUGCCCACC